AGGAGGAACAGCCCCAGUGGCGGGGCAGCUCUGGAAACCUGGAUUCAGCUCCGGCAGGAACUCCGUUUGCAGGUCCUGGAGGCUCCGGGGCGGG
rnacentral:pre_miRNA from 1 species